ACCUGGCUGGUUCAGUGGGUAGAACAUGCUACUCUUGAUCUCAGGGUCAUGAGUUCAAGCCCCAUGUCGGGCA
rnacentral:tRNA from 1 species